GUGGUGGCUCAGUGGUAGAGCGCUUGCCUAGCAUGUAUGAGGACCUGGGUUCGAUUCUCAGCACCACA
rnacentral:tRNA from 1 species